rnacentral:rRNA from 1 species
UACAGAGGUCUCAAGCGUUGUUCGGAUUCAUUGGGCGUAAAGGGUGCGUAGGCGGCGCGGUAAGUCGGGUGUGAAAUCUCGGAGCUUAACUCCGAAACUGCAUUCGAUACUGCCGUGCUUGAGGACUGGAGAGGAGACUGGAAUUUACGGUGUAGCGGUGAAAUGCGUAGAUAUCAGGAGGAACACCGGUGGCGAAGGCGGGUCUCUGGGCAGUAACUGACGCUGAGGAGCGAAAGCGUGGGGGAGCGAACAGG